rnacentral:lncRNA from 1 species
GGUCAGGGGGUGGGAUUAACCUCUCACAUCCUAGUAAUGGCUUUAGAGGAAGUCAGAAAAUUCACUGAUGAUUAAAUACACCCAACUGACCAGCCCUGCACUUGAAGGAAAAGUUAAAAGCUAGAAGGAAGGGCUGCAGAAUCAUGAAAGGUGGAAGCCUUAGAAGAUCUGGGGAAAGAAGCGGGAAGGAACUUUUGAGACCCAGUGAAGGAUGAAAUGGUGGACCAAGUACACUUCUAAUGCCAGUGGCCAGCCAGUUGCAAAGGAACAAGAAACUGAAUACAAUUCUGCACCAUGGGGCAAGAGAGAGUAAUUCCAGCAGCACAGCUUCUGUGGGAAAUGGCAGAACUCAGACAAGGACAACAGAAUGCAAGUCUGCUAGAGUCUUUGAAGUUGUAGAAUGGGAAUGAGCCCAGACCAAACCACCUGACACAGGUAUAAAAGAAAGAGAUUUCUUGGUGGAGGAUUAGACCAAUCUAAGUCACUGAAUAUAGGCAGUGAUGUCAGAGAGGACAGAAAACAUGUUAAGAAAAGGAAAUUAAUAGAACCUUAGAAAAGUUUUAUAUGCAGACC